AGAGUUUGAUUCUGGCUCAGGAUGAACGCUAGCGGCAGGCCUAAUACAUGCAAGUCGAGGGGCAGCAGGGGUAGCAAUACUCGCUGGCGACCGGCGCACGGGUGCGUAACACGUAUGCAACUUUCCUUCAACUGGAAGAUAGCCCGAAGAAAUUCGGAUUAAUAUUCCAUAGUUAUGUGAAAUGGCAUCAUUUUAUAUUUAAAGCUCAGGCGGUUGAAGAUGGGCAUGCGUUCGAUUAGCUAGUUGGUGAGGUAAUGGCUCACCAAGGCUACGAUCGAUAGGGGAUCUGAGAGGAUUAACCCCCACACUGGUACUGAGACACGGACCAGACUCCUACGGGAGGCAGCAGUAAGGAAUAUUGGACAAUGGAGGCAACUCUGAUCCAGCCAUGCCGCGUGAAGGAUGAAGGUCCUAUGGAUUGUAAACUUCUUUUGAACGGGAGAAAACCUUCGGUCGUGUACCGAAGCUGAUAGUACCGUUAGAAUAAGGGUCGGCUAACUUCGUGCCAGCAGCCGCGGUAAUACGAAGGACCCGAGCGUUAUCCGGAUUUAUUGGGUUUAAAGGGUGCGUAGGCGGAAUGGUAAGUCAGUGGUGAAAUCUUGUGGCUUAACUGCAAAACUGCCAUUGAUACUGCCAAUCUUGAGUACAUUUGAUGUGGGCGGAAUGUGCCAUGUAGUGGUGAAAUACUUAGAUAUGGCACAGAACACCGAUCGCGAAGGCAGCUCACAAAACUGUUACUGACGCUGAGGCACGAAAGCGUGGGGAUCAAACAGGAUUAGAUACCCUGGUAGUCCACGCCUUAAACUAUGAUUACUCGAUGUGUGCGAUACACAGUACGCGUCUAAGCGAAAGCGUUAAGUAAUCCACCUGGGGAGUACGGUCGCAAGAUUGAAACUCAGAGAAAUUGACGGGGGCCCGCACAAGCGGAGGAGCAUGUGGUUUAAUUCGAUGAUACGCGAGGAACCUUACCUGGGCUUGAAAGUUAGUGAAUGCUGUGGAAACAUGGCAGGCCGCAAGGACACGAAACUAGGUGCUGCAUGGCUGUCGUCAGCUCGUGCCGUGAGGUGUUGGGUUAAGUCCCGCAACGAGCGCAACCCCUAUCUUUAGUUGCCAGCGAGUAAUGUCGGGGACUCUAAAGAAACUGCCCGUGCAAACGGUGAGGAAGGUGGGAUGACGUCAAGUCAGCACGGCCCUUACGUCCAGGGCUACACACGUGCUACAAUGGCGAGUACAAAGGGCAGCUACAUGGUGACAUGAUGCUAAUCUCUAAAACUCGUCUCAGUUCGGAUUGAAGUCUGCAAUUCGACUUCAUGAAGCUGGAUUCGCUAGUAAUCGAAUAUCAGCAAUGAUUCGGUGAAUACGUUCCCGGGCCUUGUACACACCGCCCGUCAAACAAUGGAAGCUGAGGGUACUUAAAGUCGAUAACCGCAAGGAGUCGCCUAGGGUAAAAUCGGUAACUGGUGUUAAGUCGGAACAAGGUA
rnacentral:rRNA from 1 species